CUGAGAGAUGGUUGAGAAGGUUUGCAGUUCUUGUUUUAGCAAACACUGUUUAUUCACCAACACUUUAUUUAAUAAAAGUCCCAUCUAGUUUUUAUGAGGAUUGUGAUGUUUUAAUUUCUCUGUGAAUAACUGCAGUCUAAUGCAACAGCUGGAAUUGUAACAUCUGUCCUGAUAUUGAUCAUGAAGUAUUGAUCAGAAUACUUAUGGUUAGCAGUCAUCCCUGAAGUUUUACAUUAAAAUCUUUACUUGUGCUGUGAACUUUGGUAAGAAGCAGAAACUUUUGCGUUGCCAUGGAUACAUGAGUGUUAAAUUCUGUCCAUGUUUCCAUUUUGGGAAAUUCAGUCCAGUUCCAGAAUGUGGAGAAAUUUAGUCUCACAAUCACAGACAACAAAUAUUAUCUGAAAGUUGGGUUAUUGUUGUUUAUCAGCACAAUACAAAAAGAUUAAUGUUAGAAAUAUUCCAGUUAAGACUCUAGAAUAUCAUGAUUUAUGUAAAUGUACCUCAAUAAUAUGAAUGUUCAGGUUAAGAUUGUACAGUGAUAUUUAUUUUGUAAGUUUAGCUGAUUAAAGUUUAUGACUCUGCACUACAAUAUUAUUUAAAUUGACAUCAUUAUUAUAAUAUUUAGGGUCAGACCCUAAAGGAUUGAGAUUAAGAAAUCAAAUAUUCUAUAAAAUGUAAAUACACUGAACUCAUUUGAAUAUAUUUAAGUGAGACUCUACAAUAUUAUUUGACACAAAUCUAUCUAAAUCAGAAUUUUAAUAAUUUUCACGCCAAACAUUUACUGGACUGAUUUAAACAUUAAAAUCACUCCUUUCUAAUCCUCUGCUGUACGUUCAAACCUGAGGCCUUAAAUAGAAACACACAAGUAUCUGAUUGAAGGAACUUCUGCAGAGUCCUGGUUCCAGAACAUGAUGAUAGAAUUAUAGACAAACUUUAACAAAAGCUGCCUGAGAGUUUACAGGUUUUUAUGUUAGAUUUCUUCAGUAAUUUAAUGAGAGUUACCAGCAAAAAUCAAGUGUUUAUUUGAUGAACUUCAUUUCCUAAAACAUCCAGAAUUGGAGCUCAUAUCUUUGGCAGUUGUAAAGUUUCUGCUCCUUUAAAGUUCACAACACAAUGAAUGAAUUCCUAAAACACUCUCAAUGCUGGAGAGUGUUUGUGAUGCUGAAGCAGUGACCAGUUUUUCUGUUUCUUCUCUGGAGAUGCACAAUGAGGGACGUCUGCAGAGACUGAGAAAGAGUCUCACCACAUCCUGACAUGAGGAAAAAGACUUUAUUGAAGACUACGAUGAGAAAAACUAUCAGACAGCAGACGGCUGCAUUCAAGUCUGUAGCUGCUGAAUUCAUGGAUGAAUCAUCUGGCACUAGAGAAGAAGACCAUCAAACAUCCACGUCAGCUGAUGGAGGUCCAAGAGUCUCACCAAACAACCAACCUACAGAGUGAAGACCUCAAAUCUGAUUGGAUGGCCUCCUAUUCAGCCACGUGUGAACAAAUGCCUCUAAGCUGAUUUGUUUUCUAAAAUAAAUCUAGUUUGAGUCCUAA